rnacentral:rRNA from 1 species
GAUGAACGCUGGCGGCGUGCCUAAUACAUGCAAGUCGAGCGAACAGACGAGAAGCUUGCUCCUCUGACGUUAGCGGCGGACGGGUGAGUAACACGUGGAUAACCUACCUAUAAGACUGGGAUAACUUCGGGAAACCGGAGCUAAUACCGGAUAACAUGUUGAACCGCAUGGUUCAACAGUGAAAGACGGUCUUGCUGUCACUUAUAGAUGGAUCCGCGCCGCAUUAGCUAGUUGGUAAGGUAACGGCUUACCAAGGCAACGAUGCGUAGCCGACCUGAGAGGGUGAUCGGCCACACUGGAACUGAGACACGGUCCAGACUCCUACGGGAGGCAGCAGUAGGGAAUCUUCCGCAAUGGGCGAAAGCCUGACGGAGCAACGCCGCGUGAGUGAAGAAGGUCUUCGGAUCGUAAAACUCUGUUAUUAGGGAAGAACAAAUGUGUAAGUAACUAUGCACGUCUUGACGGUACCUAAUCAGAAAGCCACGGCUAACUACGUG